rnacentral:misc_RNA from 1 species
AACAACAAGGCUAUUCACCUACGCCAGCACCCUCCCGUAACCAAGCUCCCAAGCUAACAAAAACCUCUACAAAAGGAAUUUGAUUAACGAGAAACCUAAUGCCCUACGCAGUAGCGUUCAACACCAUCGCAUUCCCAACUGGACAUUUUUGUAUCUUGCACUCAAGGUUUGCUUGCCAGGCCGAUAGCUUACUGUUCUAAUUUUAUAGCCAUAUUUUCAAGCCCACAGUAAAAUGGGCCUUCUUUUUCCAGACGCAUUAUCAGUAUGGAAACAAACAGA